CCGUGACAGCACCGGGCGGGCGGUGGCAGCGGCCCCCAGCACCCCCGCGGGGCCCUCGCCUCGCCGUGGCCUGGUGGCGGGCGGGGGUCGCGGGGCAGGCCCGGCCCGGGACAGGGCAGCCGGCGGGGCUGGGCGCUGCCCACCCUCAGGGCGCGGAGGGGCUCUGCGCCGCCGGCUCCCUCGGGGCGCGCGUGGGGGCCGGCCCCGAGCCCCGGCCGCGGUGCGGGGCUGCCGCUGCCCGCCCUGCGGUGCGGAGCUGCCCGAGCGGAGCAGCCGGGCGCGAUUUUGUUGUCAUUGUGUGCGGAGGGGAGAGGCGGGAAGCGCGCGUGGACGCGAGCUGACACUGCGCGGGCUGCGGCUCCUCUGAGGUGAUCCGGUCUGACAGCCCCCUCUGGGUAUCUCCAUAUAGUGUAUGGACAGCGCCAUGUGUUAGGGAACACUUCAACUUCAUCUUCAGAGACUUUUCAUAUGUAGCCUUCUACUGAAGUCAAUGGGCGUGGAGCGGCCAAAUUUUUUGAGCACUAGAAGUGUUGUUAGUGAACCUGUGUACAGCUCCUGGUCCCACUGCCUGCAUUUGAUGUCUACAUCCAUUCCACCCGUGCACAGUCCUGGAAGGACUCAGCUUCCACUGAAGAGCUGACAAGGUCACACUUCAUAUUAGGUUUGUUUUAAGCAGUGCUUUGAAGUAUUUGAGCAUCCUUCUGUUUAAUUUCCUUCUUUGACACCAUGUAAUACUGUUUUUCAUAUAUAUAUAUGCUGCUACUGCUGUUCAGUCCUGUGUGUUUCUCCCCUGCCCUGCAUUUGAUACAGAAACUCCUCGAGAUCAAAGCUUUACAGGAGAGAUGACUGUCAGCUGAAGUCUCUGCACAUGGAUGCCCUGACAGUAAAGCUGUCCAUCUUUAGUAGCUUUUGUUUUUCACCAGAUGGGCUGUGCUCUAGAGUUCUCAUACUAUUAGACUUCUUUGUACUUUUUAUGUCUGUGUGGGCUAAUGCGUUUCUUUAGAUCCGAAUCCAACAUCAAAGUAACAUUGGUUUAAUACAAUGUUUUUUAUAUCACCUUUUUCCUCCAAGUUGGAUUUUAUUUUCAGCUUUGACCCUAGUAUUUGUUCCUUCAUAAUUUGGGGCUUUUUGCUUGCUCUUCACAUUUAAAAAAAAAAAAACAAAAAAAAACCAAACAAAGCAAAACCAUAAAACUCUGUUUUGCUUAGCUCAUCCAGUAUUUCCAUUUGGCUCAGAAGAUGUGGAUUUGUGAGCUGAGGGAAUCCUCAUUUGGCUCAUCACCUAAGCUUUCUUCAAGAGCAUUAGAAGGAUCUACAGCUUAAGUUCAUCAGAGGGCUGACCUGCUCUAGUUUUAAUGAGAUUUAUUAUACAUGUACCUUUUGGAUUCUAUGGUCUUGAUCUUCAAAACAAUCUGUACAAACCUGUUAGUAAAAGCAAAACUGUUGACAUAAAACUCACUCUUUAUACUGAAUCUUCCCUGUGUCAAGAUUACUGAUUUUUGACAUUAAAAUUAAAUUCUUUGUGCCAUU